CCUACGGGAGGCUGCAGUGGGGAAUAUUGCACAAUGGGCGCAAGCCUGAUGCAGCCAUGCCGCGUGUAUGAAGAAGGCCUUCGGGUUGUAAAGUACUUUCAGUCGUGAGGAAGGUGUUAAGGUUAAUAACCUUAGCAAUUGACGUUAGCGACAGAAGAAGCACCGGCUAACUCCGUGCCAGCAGCCGCGGUAAUACGGAGGGUGCGAGCGUUAAUCGGAAUUACUGGGCGUAAAGGGCACGCAGGCGGUUAAUUAAGUUGGAUGUGAUAUCACGGGGCUAAACAUGUGAAUAACAUGCAAGACUGGUUAGCUAGUGUCUUGUAGAGAGGGGUAGAAGUCCAUGUGUAGCGGUGAAAUGCGUAGAGGUGUCUAGGAAUAACGGUGGCGAAGACGGCCACAUGGACAAAGACUGACGCUAAUGUGAGAAAGCGUAGGGAGCAAACGGGAUUAGAGUCCCUUGUAGUC
rnacentral:rRNA from 1 species